AUUGAACGCUGGCGGCAGGCCUAACACAUGCAAGUCGAGCGGAUGAAGGGAGCUUGCUCCUGGAUUCAGCGGCGGACGGGUGAGUAAUGCCUAGGAAUCUGCCUGGUAGUGGGGGAUAACGUCCGGAAACGGGCGCUAAUACCGCAUACGUCCUGAGGGAGAAAGUGGGGGAUCUUCGGACCUCACGCUAUCAGAUGAGCCUAGGUCGGAUUAGCUAGUUGGUGGGGUAGAGGCCUACCAAGGCGGUGAUGGGUAACUGGUCGGAGAGGAUGACAGGUCACAUGGGGACUGAUAUAACGCCCCGGGUCCGACGGGAGGCAGCGGUGGGGAAUAUUGCACAAUGGGCGGAAGCCUGAUGCAGCAAUGCCUCGUGCGGUAUGACGGCCUUCGGGUUGUAAACCGCUGUCGCCUGUGACGAAGCGGGAGUGCCGGUAAUGGGUAAAGAAGCACCGGCUAACUACGUG
rnacentral:rRNA from 1 species